CUCACUCUGUCACCCCAGUUGGAGUACAGUGGCGUGAUCUUGGCUCACUGCAACCUCUGCCUCCCGGGCUCAAGUGAUCCAUCAUGCCUGGUUAAUUUUUGUAUUUUUUUGUAGAGACAUGGUUUUACCAUGUUGCCCAGUCUGGUCUCGAAUGCCUGGACUCAAGGUAUCUGCCUACCUUGGCCUCCCAAAGUGCUGGAAUUAUGGGUGUGAGCCACUGUGCCUGGCCCGUAAUCAUAAUAAGUCUUUAAAAAUGUUAGCAUUAAUGUUCAAUAUUCACCAUUAUUCAUCUGGCUUUAGGCUCUAAUUUUAUAUUGUAUGGUAUGAAAUUACUUAAAAUUGUAUAUUUUAAUCAAAUAGAAAUUCAUUGAUAGGGCAGUACAAUUCAUAUACAUAUUCUACUCUUUGAAAAUUAUAGAACAGUGGUUGUCAACAGUAUUUGUAGAUUAGAAUCAUCUGAAAAACUUUAAAAAAAUAAAUAUUUUGUUCUUCCCCCUGCCCAUUUUCUCACAUUGUAAUUUAUUUGGUCCGGUG
rnacentral:lncRNA from 1 species